GUCCACAAAGGGCCUGGAAAAGGCAGAGUGCUUUUUUGCUUCAGCACGUUCACACUGUUAAUGACUAACAAAUUGUAUUGGCUUUACAGGUUUUAAACUCUGCUCCACUGAUAAGACACGCAUUCCCAAGUGCCCAAGCCAGCUCCUGCUCCGGGGUGGGUCCUGUUCCCGUGGUGAUGCCUUGAUAAACAUGGGGUCACCUCACCCAGUCUCGUGAUCCAAAAAAUUUUUGAUCAGCAGAACACCUUUGCUUUUGCUUUAUGAUAAGAAUGGUGACAUUUGCAGCUCCCAGAGGAUGGAGGGAGCGCUCUGCCAUGGCAGAGCAAAGACUGGGGAUCACCACCACCUGUCUCCCCUUCCUCGGAACAGAAGGGGAGAUCACCUUCCGAAAUAAAUACCAUCCCCAAUACUAUUGGAGACCUGCUUUUAGCUCCCUGGGACUGGUGACCCACCAAGCUGCUGUUUAUGGCCUUUUUAUUUUUCCUCUCGCUUGGUGACUAGGAUGCAGGAUGUGAUCAGUCUCUGGAAAUAACUUUCUGAGUCUGUCCCUCACCUCGCUGUUUCAGGGGACAGGAAAGCCAGCAAAUCAUCUGGAUGGCAGGCAGGAGGGACAAAGGAGAGAGACUUUUUUCUGUUUUGAUGUGACAUUGUGUUAUACUCGAUUGACAGACAGAACACACUUUGCUCUGAUGCUCACUGUUUUUUUUCUUUGAGGUUUUAGGAUAAAGGAUUUACAUUUAUGAGCUUCUCAGGGGCAUGUGUCACAGAGAACCUUCCCAAAGUGCCUUUUGCUGUAACUUCACAUUUCACUUUCAUCUUUUUUCAGUGGAAAUUCUUGUUCAGGCUUGAAUUUGGUAAUAACUUUUUUUCUGCUACUUUUGCAGGUCAAACUAGUCAGACUCAGAGGAGAGGCAGGUUAUCACACAGAAGCAUUUCUGUAACACGCCCAGGACUUGGGAGCAGGCUCACCGUGCCAUAUUUCCUCCUCACCACACCACUCUUGCUAUGGUCGUGCAGCAACAUAUGCUAAGGCCUUAUUACAAGGGAUUCCUAUAAAAGGCAUAAAGGAUUAAUAAUGUAUUUAUAACACAACUUUGUUUUAGUAUAAAGUGAUCUAUAAAUUUGUAAUAAAUGUUUUAUAAUGUUUUUGUAGCCUGUUAUAAAUGAUAAAUGGGAGACUAUAGAUGCCACAUCAAAUAUUCAUGCUGCAUUGUGUGCAUUAUUAUGCCAUUACUGUUCAGGAAACCAUUAAUAAUAAAGUGAAUGGAGAUGUAAAAGUUGCUGACAUGCCCAGCAAGCCAUUUAUAAUGAAAUGUAUAAUCCUUACCAUAAAGUAAAUACAUUGGCCAGUGAUUGUUGAUGAAAUGGAAACACUCUGAAUUAUUCGUGAGGUAUUUAUAUAUUAAUGUAUAUUAUCCAUAUCAUGUCACAGAAACGCUGUUAAUAUAUUAUAUGUAUUAUUAAUUAUUUUUACCUAAUUUAUAGGCAGCUCUUUAAGUGUUA